GUAGCCAGCAGAAGAGAAGGAAGUCGCCUGGGGUUGAAAAAGUCAUCUGACCAAGUGUCUUGGAACUGCAGCUCAGUGCACAUUGGGGCUGACCAAUGGGGUUGCUUUCCUCCAAGCUGUGCAAUCCCUGUCCACAAUGUGCGGAGUCCUGCCAGGUGGCUGCAGGGUCCGGGGGGAGCUGCCUGUGUGAGUGUCACCGCUGGGAGUACUGUCCUGACCGCUGCUGUGACCUGACCUGCCAGGUGUGUCUGGAUGGCUGCUUCACCUGCUGCUCAGGAGACUGCAGCUACACUUUCUUUACUCUCUGCCUCGGCCUCGUACAGAACUGCACCGCCGUCUUCAAAACAGACCAACCGAAGACCUCAGAGACACAAUGUUAAUAGGUUACCAGACAGCCAGACAGACAUGGGCUGCUGCUUCAGUGGGACUGAGGGGGACGGAGAGGGGGACACGAAGCACGGGGGGGACAACGGCUGUAAGACGUGCUGUCUGAAGACCAGAAACUGCCUGAUGAGUGGAGAGUGUGGACGGGCUCUACAGAUAGCCAACGUCUGUGCCAUGUGUGGCAUGUGCAUCCGCAUGUUUGUCUAGCUGCGACUCCAUGAGGUCAGACCUGCUCUCAUUCCCAUGGCAGCUGUACAGAGAGCUGUGAACAAUCGGACAGGUAUGCCACUCUCCCAUGGGUGGGUCACCUGGGAUCCAGCCAGGUUACAAAAGACAGACACACCCUGGACCUGCCCUGAGCCUUUCACCCAAUAGGGACUCAGAAUUCUGGAUCUGCCCUGUGCCUUACAGCCAAUAGACUCAGUACUCUGGAGCCAAGCAGGAAGGAAUGUGAAGCGUAUCCUGUAACUACUGUCCUUCUGCUAUAAGAAAUACUUGUUUUCCUUUUCUGUUGUAAAACAUUUUGAAACGGUGUGCCCUAAUGAACAUCACCCUGUACUGCCUCUGUUUAUCCAGAGCUCCACAGAGCCCCAGCCAGGGAGAGAACAGGCAGUAGGCUAUGCCCAGCAGGCAGUAUGUAUGCACAAACACGAACACAUUGCCACCAAGUAGACUUUUGAGAACUGGAACAUCACGCAGGGAGUCUGAGAAACAAAUUCAUACCGGCGAAGAGACUGUACCACCGGGAACACUCAGAUGUGAGGGAAAUUAUGUUUGUA